rnacentral:rRNA from 1 species
UGGGGAAUUUUGGACAAUGGGCGAAAGCCUGAUCCAGCAAUGCCGCGUGUGUGAAGAAGGCCUUCGGGUUGUAAAGCACUUUUGUCCGGAAAGAAAUCCUUGGCUCUAAUACAGUCGGGGGAUGACGGUACCGGAAGAAUAAGCACCGGCUAACUACGUGCCAGCAGCCGCGGUAAUACGUAGGGUGCAAGCGUUAAUCGGAAUUACUGGGCGUAAAGCGUGCGCAGGCGGUUUGCUAAGACCGAUGUGAAAUCCCCGGGCUCAACCUGGGAACUGCAUUGGUGACUGGCAGGCUAGAGUAUGGCAGAGGGGGGUAGAAUUCCACGUGUAGCAGUGAAAUGCGUAGAGAUGUGGAGGAAUACCGAUGGCGAAGGCAGCCCCCUGGGCCAAUACUGACGCUCAUGCACGAAAGCGUGGGGAGCAAACAGGAUUAGAUACCCUGGUAGUCCACGCCCUAAACGAUGUCAACUAGUUGUUGGGGACUUCAUUUCCUUAGUAACGUAGCUAACGCGUGAAGUUGACCGCCUGGGGAGUACGGUCGCAAGAUUAAAACUUAAAGGAAUUGACGGGGUC